GCUGGUGUAGCUCAAUCGGUAGAGCAGCUGAUUUGUAAUCAGCAGGUUACAGGUUCAAGUCCUGCCACCAGCU
rnacentral:tRNA from 1 species